UUUGAAAUCUGGCGUCUUUCGGCGUCCGAGUUGUAAUUUGUAGAGGAUGCUAUUGAGUUGUCACCGGUCUAAGUUCCUUGGAACAGGACGUCAUAGAGGGUGAGAAUCCCGUAUGUGACCGGCCAGACGCUCUCUGUAUAGCUCCUUCGACGAGUCGGGUUGUUUGGGAAUGCAGCCCUAAAUGGGAGGUAAAUUUCUUCUAAAGCUAAAUACCGGCCAGAGACCGAUAGCGCACAAGUAGAGUGAUCGAAAGAUGAAAAGCACUUUGGAAAGAGAGUUAAAAAGCACGUGAAAUUGUUGAAAGGGAAGCGCUUGCAAUCAGUCUCGACGGCGGCUGUUCGGCCUCUCUUCUGAGUGGUUUAUUCAGUCGCCGCCGGGCCAGCAUCAGUUCUGGCGGUCGGAUAAAGACGCGGGGAAUGUAGCUCCUCUCGGGGAGUGUUAUAGCCUCGCGUGCAAUACGGCCUGCCGGGACUGAGGUCCGCGCUUCGGCUAGGAUGCUGGCGAAAUGGUUGUAAGCGGCCCGUCUUGAAACACGGACCAAGGAGUCUAACAUCUAUGCGAGUGUUUGGGUGUCAAACCCGUACGCGUAAUGAAAGUGAACGGAGGUGGGAACCGCAAGGUGCACCAUCGACCGAUCCUGAUGUCUUCGGAUGGAUUUGAGUAAGAGCAUAGCU
rnacentral:rRNA from 1 species